AAUUCUAUAAUUUAAUAAAAAUAUUAAACUGCAAGUUUAUUCAUGUAUAAUAAAUUUAUACUAGAAUCU
rnacentral:tRNA from 1 species